rnacentral:rRNA from 1 species
AUUGAACGCUGGCGGCAGGCCUAACACAUGCAAGUCGAGCGGAUGAGAAGAGCUUGCUCUUCGAUUCAGCGGCGGACGGGUGAGUAAUGCCUAGGAAUCUGCCUGGUAGUGGGGGACAACGUUUCGAAAGGAGCGCUAAUACCGCAUACGUCCUACGGGAGAAAGCAGGGGACCUUCGGGCCUUGCGCUAUCAGAUGGGCCUAGGUCGGAUUAGCUAGUUGGUGAGGUAAUGGCUCACCAAGGCGACGAUCCGUAACUGGUCUGAGAGGAUGAUCAGUCACACUGGAACUGAGACACGGUCCAGACUCCUACGGGAGUCAGCAGUGGGGAAUAUUGGACAAUGGGCGAAAGCCUGAUCCAGCCAUGCCGAGUGUGUGAAGAAGGUCUUCGGAUUGUAAAGCACUUUAAGUUGGGAGGAAGGGCAGUAAGUUAAUACCUUGCUGUUUUGACGUUACCGACAGAAUAAGCACCGGCUAACUCUGUGCCAGCCGCCGCCGUAAAAC